GCUAGGAUUGGGUGACAUUUGUUAUGUCUCACAGGCUGGCUUUGCCCACUGGCAAAUUUUCUGGUUAUUACAUAUGAGUUUGGAAGAGAAAGCUGACCUCCAAAAUUACCUGUUGCUAAAUGACUGAUGAAGAAAAAGCAGAACAGGAGACUAAAGAGUGCCUAAUAGAGAAGUUUAUAUUUUCUGGGUAUCUGGAUUAUGUCUUCUGGCAAAUAUAUACAAGUCCUUCACUUAGAAACCUCCAUGGGCAGAAGUGCAAUAGUUGAAUGACAAAUGGUUCUAUUGCUUUGAGCAGUCAAUAUAAAACUCUUUAUAUUCACUACCAAUAAACCAGCUAACUUAUUCCUUCAUAUUUUUUAGUAAAAGCCUUUCCCAUAAGCAGAAGCAGGUUGGCUGAAAGUGCAAUCCUAACCACAUCUACUCAGAAGUAAGGCCUACUACAGCAUAAAGAUUGCAACCUUAAUACAGUGGUACCUCAGGUUACAGACGCUUUAGGUUACAGAUGCUUCAGGUUACAGACUCCAUUAACCCAGAGAUAGUACCUCGGGUUAAGAACUUUGCUUCAGGAUGAGAACAGAAAUUGUGCGGUUGCGGCGGGAGACCCCAUUAGGUGAAGUGGUACCUCAGGUUAAGAACAGUUUCAGAUUAAGAACCGACCUCCGGAAUGAAUUAAGUUCUUAACCCGAGGUACCACUGUAUAGGAGCUUGGCUUUAAGACGAGCCAAUGUUUAUUGUGACAUGAACCCAGGCUAGAAAAUGUGACAGCAGCCAACCCCUUCUGAAGGAACACUUUCCCCAGUUUUAUUAGGUGCCAAUCAGAGGCACCAGGUUCCACACAACAUGGGGGCGGGCUUGUCACAUGCGUGUGAUGUUGCAUGUGGGACAUCACACAAGUUGGGAAGACGCUGUGAGGCCUGGGGAGGCCCUCAGCCACCACAGGUAAGUCUGGCAGGGUCUUCUGCUGCUGCAGGGAGGCCCAGCAGGGCCUAGUCCCUCAAGAUUGGGCCGGGGGCUCAGCCUGACAAUGCAUAUUGGGGGGGGUUGGCACGUACAGUGGUACCUCUGGUUAAGAAAUUAAUUCGUUCUGGAGGUCCGUUCUUAACCUGAAACUGCUCUUAACCUGAAUCACCACUUUAGCUAAUGGGGCCUCCCGCUGCUGCUGGCCCGCCGCCACACGAUUUCUGUUCCCAUCCUGAAGUAAAGUUCUUAACCCGAGGUACUAUUUCUGGGUUAGCGGAGUCUGUAACCUGAAGCGUCUGUAAGCUGAGGUACCACUGUAACUGCAAAACAACAGUGCUUAUUAAGUCUCCCCAAUAUCUUUGCAAGGGAGGAGGGUGGGAAGAAAACUGAAACUUGACCACGUCUCCAUAAUCUCUUAGUAGCUCUAGGGAGCACCAGCCCCCACUAGUAGCAGCUUUUUCUUUGUGGUGCCAUCCCAUACAGCUGUCCUAUGUGCAAGAACACCAGCACCACGUGGGUAGGGUCACUUGUGUAGGUCUUUUCCACCUGGUCAUUACCUCCUUGAUUGGUCCAGCCUACAUAAUUCCAGUACUCACUGAUUCAUGUAGGAAUGCAUUGCAUGGAGAUGCCCCAGCUGCUGUGGUUGGGUGAGAUGGGGGCCUGGUGUCAGGGACUGGGCAGAGGAGGAAGGGGAAGACCUCCUCCCCAGCCUGACCCUUCCAGAGAAGAAGAAGACAGUUCAGAAUUAGAGCAGGGGUUUGAGGGAGAUCACAGCUCAGAGGCAGAUGAGGGGGAAAGAUGGGAAAUAAUGGGAGAGAAGGAAGAAGAAGAGAGGGGACAGCUGAUGGAUUCAUUGUCUUUAGAAAGCAUUUCAGAUUCCCCCCUCUCCCAGAACCCGGUGAGCAUUGAAAGUAGGAGAGCAGAGAUCUCAGAGGCAAAGGACACAUCUCAGCACCCAUAGUGAUGAUGUAUAAUGGAAGGGAGGGAGGAGGUGGAGACUCACUUGGAGCAAUACCUUUAUUCUGAGAGGCCACAUUCCCUAGCCUCUCUCUGUGAAUAUUGAAUAAAAGCAGAUGGUAAGUGGUAGUUUCUGUUUGCCACUGUGCAGCUGCUGAGAGUCACAAGUCUCUGUUUACAUUCCAGAGACAUUCCAGGCUGUUGGAAGUCUCACGGGAGACGGGAGACGGAUGUGACGUACUGGUUUCCUGUUCCUUUGUUUGUUUCAGUUGCUCUCUGCUCUCACAGAGAGAGGAUGUAUUUUCUGUCUGUGUAGUAAGAAAUAAAGCAUAGCGAUGUAGACAUAAAUCUCAUCACUUCUGCGUGCUGCUUUGGUUCUCUGCUGAAUGGGGGAUGUGCCUGGAGCCUUAUCCAGGCACAGGUUGUCAAUCACAGUGUAGGCAAUUCUGGAGGACUCAGCCAGAGGAGGAUGAGCUUUAUCAGCUUGGCCAAGCGCAGGUUCCGACAGUAAGGACUUUCCCUUGUCUUGUCCAUUCCUGGCAACCUGCCGUGGGGGUUGGUUCCUCUGCUGCCUGACACCUGGUUGCCUUGUGACACACAUACCUUUGACAAAAUCUGCUAGUCUACCGACGAAAGAAGAAUGGCGGAUGAAAUUAAUGGACUAUGCAGAAUUAGAUAAAUUAACAGGAAGGAUUUGAAACCUGCAGGACCAGAUUGGAGUAAAUAUAUGAACUAUUUGAAAAGCAGUUGUAAUGAAAAGAUUAUGCUUGUAGGACUGCAAGAUGUUCUGUAAGGAGGACUAUUUGAAACAUUGCAAGAAAGACUAUGAGGAGAAUUAUUAGUUAAUGAUAAUUAAAAGUACAGUGGUACCUGAGGUUACAUACGCUUCAGGUUACAUACGCUUCAGGUUACAGAUUCCGCUAACCCAGAAAUAGUACCUCGGGUUAAGAACUUUGCUUCAGGAUGAGAACAGAAAUCGUGCUCCGCCAGCGCAGUGGCAGCGGGAGGCCCCAUUAGCUAAAGUGGUGCUUCAGGUUAAGAACAGUUUCAGGUGAAGAACAGACCUCUGGAACGAAUUAAGUUCUUAUCCCGAGGUAAUAGAGAAAUUAAGAAAUACAGAAUAGGUGAUAAAGAACGGAAAAUCAUCAGAGGUUGUUGACCGAAGUCUAAAAUAUUGUAUAAGAUAAGUAGUUAUGUUAAAUGAUUGUUGGAAAUGAUAUGUUAAAAAACCAAUAAAAAUGUAUUUUUAAAAAGGGAGAAAAUUUGCUAGUCAUAUCAAAAGAACUCCCCCUGAAGUGCCUUCAGGUGUGCACUGGGCAGAGGAGGAAUGGUAGAGACUGAACAGAACUCUCCAAAUUCACUUUGAAUGUGGACUGCUGGCAACUGUAAUGUCACAUCUUCUUGCCAUUUCCAACUGAUGCUGUCUCUCCAUAUCCUUGAACCUCAUCUCUCAAACUUGAAGAAUCUCUGAAACCUCUUACACCUCACCUACGAUACUAGCCAAGCACUGUGCAGGAGUGGAAUGGGUCUGUGUGUGUUGCAAAAUAAAACAUCAUUUAUCCUGCCUUUGUCUUAAGGUAAAGGUAAAGGGACCCCUGACCAUUAGGUCCAGUCGUGGCCGACUCUGGGGUUGCGGCACUCAUCUUGCUUUAUUGGCCGAGGGAGCGGUGUACAGCUUCCGGGUCAUGUGGCCAGCAUGACUAAGCCGCUUCUGGCGAAACCAGAGCAGCGCACGGAAACGCCGUUUACCUUCCCGCUGCCUUUGUCUUAGUUAUCACAUUUUUAAUUACCAUAACAUUUUGACUUCUUAGCUCCAAUCAUAAUUGGAUCGUGCAAUAAAAAUAAUGUGUUUGGUUUUUGAUGUUGUGAUAUUGCUCCCCACUUGGAAGGCUGCUUCACUCCCAGAGAAAAUAUCUUGGAAUGAAUAAUUACUAGGUGUCUGUUCCCUAAUGAAGAUGAAUGCCACAUCAUAUCACACAGUCCUCGUGUGAUUCAGUGGCAGAGGCUAGCAUUCUUCUCUGUUUUGAUUAACACAAGGAUUAUCCAGGUAGGUAUCGACCGCAGCCCAAUUAAACAGACAUGUUGACUCAUGAGUUAAACAGCCAGCUGCCUUUGGUUUUGCUACUCAUCUGGUUAGCCUUCCAAAUAGUUAAGUCACGUGAAUCACAUCAGACAAAUCACUACAUUGAGUCUAGAACUAGAUACAAGGUGAAUCUUGGAGCCUGGGCACAGUGGCAUAGCAGGGGUUGCCAGUGCCCGGGGCCGUGUGGAUGGGGUGGGAGGGAAGGAGUAUGCAUGCUCAUUCAGCUGCGUCACCCAAGAGAUUGCAGCCACAGAGAUACAAAAGAAGAGUCAUUCUGUUGUCUGGAGAGGUCACUUCCUGGUUCGCAUGGAGAUGCAGUUUUCAACAGAGCCAUGUGACAGAAGCAUGCAGCUGUACUGAUGCAAUGCUGGGUGUAGAAAAUUUGCGUCCCCAACCAGGGAUUUUUUUUUUUUUUAAUUGCCACUGCUUUUAGUAUGUGUUUAGUAUUUUUAUUUGCUGCCAUUGCUCUGGCUGCUGGUAAGGCGAUCUGGCUAGCAAACUGGUCCCAAGCUGUUAAGGCCUUUUCAUCCUGUACUUGCUCCCAUCUGACUUGCAAAAAGUCUUAAUUUUACUCCUUCAUCACUACUCAAAUGCAGGAGAUCCCAGAAGGCAGAGCCCAACAUACAACAGAACUGUAUUCAUAUUGACGCAUUUCCUCUUACUCUUGCCUGCAUGAUGCCAGAGUUGAGUCUGGUACGAGAAACAGAAAGGUGGGCUAUUUGACCAACUAUUUAUUUAGAUGCCAAUAUGUAUACAGGUGUAGGGACAUGGGUGGCGCUGUGGGUUAAACCACAGAGCCUAGGACUUGCCGAUCAGAAGGUCGGCAGUUCAAAUCCCUGAGACGGGGUGAGCUCCAGUUGCUCGGUCCCUGCUCCUGCCAACCUAGCAAUUCGAAAGCACGUCAAAGUGCAGGUAGAUAAAUAGGUACCACUCUGGCGGGAAGGUAAACGGUGUUUUCGUGCGCUGCUCUGGUUCGCCAGAAGCAGCUUAGUCAUGCUGGCCACAUGACCCGGAAGCUAUAUGCCGGCUCCUUCAGCCAAUAAAGCGGGAUGAGCACCGCAACCCCAGAGUCGGCCACGACUGGACCUAAUGGUCAGGGGUCCCUUUACCUUUACCUAUGUAUACAGGUGUACCUUGGAAGUCGAACAGAAUCCAUUCUGGAAGUCUGUUCGACUUCCAAAAUGUUCAACUUCCAAGGCGCAGCUUCCGAUUGGCUGCAGGAGCGUCCUGUAGCCAAUCGGAAGCUGCAGAAGCUGUCCCGGACGUUCGGCUUCCAAAAAUCAUUAAAAAAAUGGAACAAUCUUUUCCAGUUUUCGAUCAUUCAGGAGCCAAAAUGUUCCGAGUUUACAGAUGUUCGGCUUCCGAAGUUCCACUGUAUUCUAAAGCUCAGCCUUUCUGGACCACGAGUCUGCUGCUCUGAAGUGGAAAGUCCAAUUAGAGCAGGGGUAGGCAACCUAAGACCCGCGGGCCGGAUGCAGCCCAAUCGCCUUCUAAAUCCGGCCUGUGGACGGUCUGGGAAUCAGCGUGUUUUUAUUUGUGCCCUUUUAUUUAAAAUGCAUCUCUGGGUUAUUUGUGGGCCCUGCCUGGUGUUUUUUACAUGAGUAGAAUGUGUGCUUUUAUUUAAAAUGCAUCUCUGGGGCAUAGGAAUUUGUUCAUUCCCCCCCCCCCCAAAAAAUAUAGUCCGGCCCCCCCACAUGGUCUGAGGGAUGGUGGACCAGCCCAUGGCUGAAAAAGGUUGCCGACCCCUGAAUUAGAGGGAAAGAAAGUACCUCUGUUUCUCAUUCCCCCUUAUCACUGCAAGCUACAGUAUAUGGCGGUCUCAGCCUUCUGAAUAUAUGAGGGCAGACCUUCAGCUCAGACAAUAAACUCUGCAGUUCAGCCUCUAAGCAGCAGAAGCAGCUGUUGCCCCAAAGGCUAAAUGUUAACUUUGCACCAUCAUCGCUGAGUGCUGUCUGUUCAUGAAAAUAUUGACAUAGGUUUGAUUUGUUUGUAUCCAAUGCGCUUCUUACAAAAAAAAAAAUUAAAAUCCACAAAUCUGCUCUCAUUUUUCUCUUUUGUCACAUCUUUCUGUUAUAUGAGCCAAUGCAGACUUGAACAUUUCAACUGUAACUUGAUGGCAAAGUUAUCGUCGCAUAUUUCUUAGGAGUGGAUGUUGGCAACAAGAAGAAAUUCCGAUGAAAGAGGAACGGCAGAUGAAAUUAAUGGACUAUGCAGAAUUGGACAAAAUGACAGGAUGGAUUCGAAACCUGCGGGACCAGAGAUUUACAGAAGAUUGGAAGAAGUAUAUGAAUUAUUUGAAGAGCAACUGUAAUCAACAAAUUACGCUAGUAGGACUACUAUAAGUUUUGUAAGGAGAACUAUACGAAGUGUUACAAAGUAGAAAAAGAUAGAGAUAUUGAUUAUGAGUUUGAAAUGUAAUAGGGAAGAUAAGAAAUGCAUACUGAGAGGUUAGAUUGGAAAAUUUUCAGACAGGAUUGAUGGAAG